CAGCAGCCACGGUAAUACGGAGGGUGCAAGCGUUAUCCGGAUUUAUUGGGUUUAAAGGGUCCGUAGGCGGAUCUGUAAGUCAGUGGUGAAAUCUCACAGCUUAACUGUGAAACUGCCAUUGAUACUGCAGGUCUUGAGUAAAUUUGAAGUGGCUGGAAUAAGUAGUGUAGCGGUGAAAUGCAUAGAUAUUACUUAGAACACCAAUUGCGAAGGCAGGUCACUAAGAUUUAACUGACGCUGAUGGACGAAAGCGUGGGGAGCGAGCAGGAUUAGAUACCCCAGUAGUCCCUGUCUCUUAUAC
rnacentral:rRNA from 1 species